UACGUAGGGGGCAAGCGUUGUCCGGAUUUAUUGGGCGUAAAGAGCGUGUAGGCGGUUUUACAAGUCCGCUGUGAAAACUCGAGGCUCAACCUCGAGCUGUCGGUGGAAACUGUAAGGCUAGAGUCCGGAAGAGGAGAGUGGAAUUCCUGGUGUAGCGGUGAAAUGCGUAGAUAUCUGGAGGAACACCGGUGGCGAAGGCGGCAUCCUGGACCAACACUGACGCUGAGGAGCGAAAGCCAGGGGAGCAAACGGG
rnacentral:rRNA from 1 species